CAGCCAUAACCUAUUGAUACACCGCUUCUCAUACAAUCACCAAAGUUAAGCAACAUUGAGCUCAGUCAGUACCUAGAUGGGUGACUGCUUGGGAUUACCAGGUACUGUAAG